CGAUCACUUUCUUCUUCCACACAGCACGCAUCUAACAGCUUCCAGCUCUAUUCUAAAAGGGAAGAUGUUAGUCCUUAUGCCAUUUUUAAUUAUUCUCUUGACAACAGACUAUAGCAAAGGUGAAAUAGAGAUGCGUGCUUUUAAACACCAGACAGUGAAUUGCAAUGAGAGGACUGUCUUGCAAUGCGGAGUCAGCUCAUCAAUGCCGUUGAACUUUGUUAAAGCGUACUGGAAAAAACAAGACGAUAAAGAUUUUGAAUGUGUUUCAACAUCCAGCAAUAACCCUCCAGGAUUUGAGUGCAACUACACAGGGGGAGCACUGACAUUAACCAUCUCAAAUCCCACACCAGCAAACAUGGGCACAUACUUUUGUUGUAUAAGGACAGACUCUGGACAUGGAAAAGAAAAAAUCGACGUGUCUAUAGGACAAUGCACCGGAGAAUUCUCCAACCAGAUGGCUGGACCCAAACAAAUGCAGUGCAGCUUCAAUGGUGUGUACCCAGAGGCCAUAAUAAACUGGUAUCAUUAUGACAAGAACCUGACUUCCAACUCUACAAGCACAAGCCUGGUGAACUCUGACGGAACGUUCAACGUCACAAGUGUCCUCAACAUCCAGGACAAUCAAAAGAGAUAUAACUGCUCACUGUGGUCACUCAAACACGGACGAUACAGUGAUCAAGAGUUCGAAGUGGCAGAUCAAGCUGAGUUCAGUCCUGUUAGCAGGAUCAGCACACAACAUUGUUUAUCAUGGACUCUUAUCCUUCUUAGCCUGAUGUUUUAAUUGAGAGCCUGUUUGUCUUUAUAAUCUUUACAUACCAACUCAUACCAACUCUCACAAGACCUGAUGACAAAACCAAAGAUCUGGUGGAGUUUCAUAAAUGGAAUUCACCAGAUAAACUGAUCAUCUAAUCAAUAUAGUGUCAGACCUUUUACCUGCCAUGUGGUAGGUCUGGAUGUAAUUAAAGACCAGGGAAUCCCUGAAGACAUGGCCACUGGAUAUGGCAGCGAACUGACAUUUGACCCACAACUUCAAGUCAUGACUUGAUUUAUUCAAGAAAACGCUCACAUGAAAAACCCAAACUAUUUCAAACAGCAUUUUGAAAAUGUAUUUGUUCCCAUUCUUUAUGCAAAAUAAUGUAUGAUCUCAAAUUAAUUGAAAGACUACACUGAAUAUACAGUAAAAAUGGUGAAAAGUUGUCAUUUUAGUGUCAUUGAGAUACAGUUAUAGUUUUUAUAAAAUAGUUUGAAUAUUUUUUUUUUAUAUUUUGUAUUUUA
ensembl:lncRNA